AUACUUUCUUGGCAGGGGAGUCAUCAGCAUCACAAGGGUGGUUUUCCCCGGGUGAGGUUUAUCCAUCACACUCGGGGUGUGCUGACCCCAGCCAUUUCCCCAAAUGCGGGAAACUUGACUGCAUAAGUUGUGGUAGUAGGGGACUGCGUUCGUUACUUUCCCCUG